rnacentral:lncRNA from 1 species
AGAAUAAUUUUUUUUUCAAAUAUAAACAUAUGUCUAAAUAAUUAGAAAACAAACUUGAUUGCGCGUAAUAAAAUUUAAACGUGAAUAUAAUAACAUACCUUAAUUUACCAUAUCAAAAUUUCACCGGUAAUUAAUACAAUAUAUUCAACACAUAUGAAACUAUCAUGUGUAAUAUUUAUAUCAUAUUACCAUUUAAUAUUUUAUAUUUCUUGGUCAUCCUUUGAAACAAUUAAUUAUUUUGUAAUAGGCUAAUUUUUGGCAUGGCCAACAAAAAAUAAAAACUUUAAUAAAGUCCAAUACAUGGCCCAAAUUAAAACCAAAUCCAAAUGACCCAAAGAAUAAAGCCCUAAAGCCCAAGUCAGCCCAAACACAGAACUAAACAGCAAGCAAAACCCUAGUCCCCAAGGUGCAGUCGCCGCAUGCCCCUUUGCCCUUGACCAGCGCCGCACGCCACCACGCCUCCUUCACGCGUCUGACACCACCUGCAAAACGAAUAUCUAAACGCAAGCAGAAAGGACAAACAGAGAAAACAAAUAACAAAGAAACAAAAAAUAAAAAUAAAAAAUCUUGUAAUUUGGCUAUAAAAGCCAUAUCAACAUACUUGUAUUUUCUUCUGGGUUUUUUUCCCAAAAUUUUGGAAUAGAAAAACAAAAGAUCUAAACUUUUAAGGUGAUUUUCGUAUUAUUUAAACUUAAGUUUUUUUUUUAUAAAUACGAAAUUAAAAAAGAGAAGGGAGAGGGCUCACCAGAGUUACCCUGUGGCCGCAUCGUCGGAGUCCUCCUCUCCAUGUCGUCGUCGAUUCCAAAAAGGGGGAGAAGAGGCCUUUCUCUUUCGUUUUUUGGGGUUGAGAAGGCUUAGUCUUCAAACAUUUUAAACGGGGGCUAAAGAGGUCGUUUUGCACCUCUCCGACCACCGUCCACGGUGGAGGUGCGGCUGCCAGACAGUGGCCCCAAUCGGCCGAAGAAAGAAAAGAGAGAGAGAGAGUUUAAAAGUUCUUUCAGAUUUUUUUUUGAAGUUGAAGGCUAAAAUGAAUUUUUUAAAAAAAUUUGGGUCUUUUAUUCAACAUUCAAAAGGCGCCGUUUUUGGGUGGGGGUCCAGGUGCCAAAACGACACCGUUUUGGACCAACCGUGCGCGACCCGACCCGGUUAGAAAGGGAUCCCCGUGUUUUUAAGGCCCAAAUGGGCUAUUUUCAGUUUUGGUUCCUCCUUUUUGUAGCGCCAUUCGAUUAAGCCCUAUUUUAUUUUCUUUGACUUCUAAUUUUACCCUAAAACUUUAGCAUCAUUUCAUUUUGGUCCUAGGAUAAGACGUUGCGCACGGAGGGGUCUGGGGCAUUUGCUAUUUCGCCCUUUACAUUUUCAGCUUGUUGUGAUUUGGCCCUUUGUUUCAUUUUGGUUAUUACAAAUUUA